GGAUUUGACACUGCAAAGCAAGAUUUUAUCAGCUGCCAGAGCAAUAGGUGUUCCAUGGGUGGGCUCACCAGCUCCUGAAGAAGUGGGUGCACGUGAUGCUGUUUCAAUACAAUAAGGACAGAAAGAGUUUUAAGCCUCAGUGAGGAGCACAAGCCCACUCUAGACAAGGAAUGUCAGAAGAUACAGAAGUGACCUGAACUGGUACUUGCUGUUGAAGAACUCAUGACUCAUCUUUGCCCAUGUUCUUAUCUGCUGUUUGGGGCCAUCUGUGGACACGACAGCUGGAGCACCAAAAAGUGAGUUUGUUUUCCAGACAAGCCUUCAGAAGAAGCAGUCCCUGGAGUUUGCAUCCAUCAGUAAAAGGCUCCAGAAGGAAGGAAUCAGGCCUAAAGCAUGUAGUUCUCACAGCACAUUUGGAUGCACCCUUGUGCUCUGCUCCAGUAUCCUGUGCUCCCCACACUGUUCCCUGAGGAAUUCCACAUUAACAACAUGAAGCGUCAUUUCUGUUCUUGGGAAUGGGAUUAGGAGAAAGCCACAGCUAAAACAAUGCAACACCUGGUUAAUUUAAGACACAGCAGGAGAACUCCUGCUCCCAGCAUACAAAAAGACAGCCCACAUGGCUCCUCAU